rnacentral:lncRNA from 1 species
UUGAAGAAUAGUAUUGUCAUGUGUUAGACAGUUCACGAUUGUGUAUUAGUUAAGGUUACUCGAUUUUGGGAAUAGUGUGUAAAGUUUAAUGUAUAAACAAUCUAUGUUUAUAUCUUCCGCAAACAGUUGUAGAAUGAUUGAACCGGAUCCGCGGCGAUUCGGGACCCGGAUCUGGGGAUGCUACAGCUACCCUAUUGCAGUAUCCAAUCUCCUACUAAGAUAAGGAGUAUUAUUUCUUUCGUAUUCGUAAAGGAUGUUAUUUUCU